rnacentral:rRNA from 1 species
GAUGAACGCUGGCGGCGUGCCUAACACAUGCAAGUGGAGCGACGAACCCGGACUUGUCCGGGGGCAAAGCCGCGAACGGGUGAGUAACACGUGGAUUAUCUGCCCCAAUGACCGGGACAACUCGAGGAAACUCGAGCUAAUACCGGAUGUGCUCUUCGGAGGAAAGGAAGCUUCGGCCUCCGCAUUGGGAUGAGUCCGCGGUGCAUUAGCUAGUUGGUGGGGUAAAAGCCUACCAAGGCGACGAUGCAUAGCUGGUCUGAGAGGACGAUCAGCCACACUGAAACUGAGACACGGUCCAGACUCCUAAGGGAGUCAGCAGUGGGGAAUCUUGCGCAAUGCACGAAAGUGUGACGCAGCAACGCCGCGUGCGGGAAGAAGGUCUUCGGAUCGUAAACCGCUUUCAGUUGGGACGAGGGUUACACGGUGAAUAGCCGGCGUAACUGACGGUACCUUCAGAAGAAGCCCCGGCUAACUACGUGCCAGCCGCCGCCGUAA